rnacentral:tRNA from 3 species
GCCCCUGUAGCUCAGUGGAUAGAGCAUCGGUCUCCGAAGCCGUGCGCGCAGGUUCGAUUCCUGCCAGGGGUA